GAAACAGAUAGUUGUUUAGUGUAGCUGGUUAGCUAGCAACAUUUUCGUUUAGGAAUUUGUAAUCCAUGACAAAUUAUGUGUGUACGGGUUGAACAAAUUGCUGCAUCGCUUGUGCGGGAAUUUCUCUGUCGGAAGGUCGCUUACAGAGGUUGUCUGCCCAUCACAUUGUACAUUAUCAUCAUUUGAAGCAUCAGAUACUCACCCCACAACUACCCAGAGAAGUAUCUGGAGCCAUAAACGUAGCCAGAGCCAGCAGGACCAACAGCCUGUACAUUCCUUCCUAGAUAAUGACAUCUCCACUAAGAGGGAAUCCUUUUCAGACAGAAAUAGUAUUGUCACCUCAGAGAGUACUCAUAAGAAGAAAACAAGCCGCCUCAGACAAGGAAUCCAAUAGAUAAUGCCAGACUCGACACCCUAAUCUUCUUCUGGUAAAUGAUGAAGACAGCAAAAACAGCAGAGAUGGGCCUCCAUUGAUUGUCCAGUCACAGAGAAUGGUUACGGGGCUGACCGAGCUCUCCCCUGCUGAGAGAAAGCCAACAGCCACGUAGCACACCGGGGAAAGGAAGUGAUGAAGAUGGAUAUGGGUUUGAGAGAGUAGGAAAAAACAAGUAAGGAGCGUUGAGUUUCCUUCAACUGUUUUCAUGAUCAGAGAAUUUCAGAUUUCUUACUGUUGCCUAUUUAAUAUAUUUGUAUUUACACUGCUCAAAUAAAUACAGGGAACACUUAAACAACACAAUGUAACUCCAAGUCAAUCACACUUCUGUGAAAUCAAACUGUCCA